GGAAGAUAUUACACCUAAAAACUUCAAUGUUCGAAACACUGUUCAUGAAUAUGGUGGUGGGUCUUUUGGGGUUUCUGGAGAUGUACUUGUUUUCUCCAAUUUUGAUGACCAGAGAUUGUACAAACAGAUCCUCACCUCUUCAGAUUUAGGUCCAGUGCCCAUAACUCCAGAUUAUGUGGGACCUCAUGUAAGAUAUGCUGAUGGGGUCUUUGAUAGUCGUUUAAACCGCUAUAUUGCUGUAAGAGAAGAUCAUCGAGGGGUUGAUGCAAAGCCAACUAAUGAGAUUGUGAGUGUUACUCUUAAUGAUAACACCACUGAAGAACCAAAAGUCUUGAUUAGUGGGAAUGAAUUCUAUGCAUUCCCACGGGUGGACGUGAAAGGGGAACGUUUGGCCUGGAUAGAAUGGAGCCACCCUAACAUGCAUUGGGAUAAAUCAGAGCUUUGGGUUGGGUAUAUAUCUGAGAGCGGAGACAUCGAGAAGCGAGUAGUAGUUGCUGGUGGCUGUCCUACUCUGGUGGAAUCGCCAACUGAGCCUCUAUGGUCGUCCAAAGGGGAAUUGUUUUUCAUAACAGACAGAAAUACAGGGUUUUGGAACAUAUACAAAUGGGUUGAAGAUCAAAAUGAGGUCCUUGCAAUUUACUCUUUGAACGCUGAGUUCACAAGACCAUUUUGGGUUUUUGGAAAUCGAUGUUAUGACAUCAUUGAGCGGAAAGAGGAAUCAACAAUUAUUGCGUGCAGCUACAGGCAACAUGGAAAGUCAUAUCUUGGUGUUAUAAAUCAAGCUAAGAACUCUUUCUGUUCAGUUGAUAUUCCAUUCACUUACAUAUCAAAUAUUGUCGCAAGUGGACAGAUCCUUUACAUUGAGGGUGCAUCUUCUGUUCUUCCUACUUCUUUAGCAAAGGUGAUACUAGAUGAUCAUAUGUCAAAUGUUGUAGAUUUCAGUAUCAUGUGGUCAUCUUCUUCAGACAUUGACAAGUACAUACCAUAUUUCAGCCACCCAGAGUUUAUUGAAUUUCCAACAGAUGUGGCUGGUCAAAAUGCCUAUGCAUACUUCUAUCCUCCAUGUAAUCCAGAAUAUAAUGGUAGUCAAGAAGAAAAACCUCCACUGUUGCUAGAAAGCCAUGGAGGGCCAACAGACGAGGCACGUGGAACCUUAAAUCUUAGCAUCCAAUAUUGGACUAGUCGAGGAUGGGCAUUUGUGGAUGUCAACUAUGGAGGAAGUACGGGUUAUGGUAGGGCAUACCGAGAACGCCUUUUGGGAAAGUGGGGAAUCGUUGACAUCAAUGAUUGUUGCUCUUGUGCUAAAUAUUUGGUGGAUGAGGGGAAGGUUGAUGGAAAGCGCCUUUGCAUAACUGGGUGUUCUGCUGGCGGUUACACAACAUUAGCCUCUCUUGCUUUCAGAGAUACAUUCAGAGCUGGCGCUUCUUUAUUUGGAAUUGCUGAUUUGAAGUCAUUGAGUGAUCAUAUGCACAAAUUUGAAUCCCACUAUAUCAUUAAUCUUGCUGGUAAUGAAAUCGCUUUAAAUGAGCGGUCUCCUAUCAACUUUGUUGAUCGAUUCUCUUGCCCCAUAAUAGUGUUCCAAGGAUUAGAAGACACGGUUGUCCAGCCAGAACAGGCCCGAAAAAUCUACCAGGCCUUGAAGAAAAAGGGGUUACCUGUGGCUCUCGUGGAAUAUGAAGGAGAAUCUCAUGGAUUUCGUAAGGCAGAAAGCAUAAAAUACACUCUUGAGCAACAAAUGGUGUUCUUUGCUCGAACAGUUGGACAUUUUGCAGUGGCUGAUGAUAUAACUCCCACACACAUUGACAACUUUGAUUAAGUACAACCAGUAUCGCGCUGUCCUCAUGAGGUGAGAAUGAGAACUCCAGUUGCCAUUUCCAUCAAAUGUUGGAUUCCGCCACUCAAUAAGGAACUUGUAGUUCGCCCUUGUCCACAUCUCCCUAUAGAUGGUGCUAAAGAAUAAAUACUUUGGACUAUGGUGUGUUGUUAACCAGACAAUAAACACAAAUCCUUUUUUGUUGUUGGAGUUGAACCUGUGAAUUCAAUAAGGAAUAUGUUUAAUACGAAGUCAUUUGGAUCUGAUGUUCAG
rnacentral:misc_RNA from 1 species